rnacentral:rRNA from 1 species
ACACAUGCAAGUCGAGCGGAGACAGUGAGUAGCUUGCUAUGAGCUGUUUUAGCGGCGGACGGGUGAGUAACGCGUGAGCAGCCUUUCCCAGACAGGGGAAUAACACACCGAAAGGUGUACUAAUACCGCAUAAGACCACGGGAUCACAUGGUUCUGGGGUAAAAGAUUUAUCGGUUUGGGGUGGGCUCGCGUCCGAUUAGGUAGUUGGUGAGGUAACGGCCCACCAAGCCGACGAUCGGUAGCCGACCUGAGAGGGUGAUCGGCCACAUUGGGACUGAGACACGGCCCAAACUCCUACGGGAGGCAGCAGUGGGGAAUAUUGGGCAAUGGGGGGAACCCUGACCCAGCAACGCCGCGUGGAGGAAGAAGGUUUUCGGAUCGUAAACUCCUGUCCUUGGAGACGAGUAGAAGACGGUAUCCAAGGAGGAAGCCCCGGCUAACUACGUGCCAGCAGCCGCGGUAAUACGUAGGGGGCAAGCGUUGUCCGGAAUAAUUGGGCGUAAAGGGCGCGUAGGCGGCUCGGUAAGUCUGGAGUGAAAGUCCUGCUUUUAAGGUGGGAAUUGCUUUGGAUACUGUCGGGCUUGAGUGCAGGAGAGGUUAGUGGAAUUCCCAGUGUAGCGGUGAAAUGCGUAGAGAUUGGGAGGAACACCAGUGGCGAAGGCGACUAACUGGACUGUAACUGACGCUGAGGCGCGAAAGUGUGGGGAGCAAACAGGAUUAGAUACCCUGGUAGUCCACACUGUAAACGAUGAAUGCUAGGUGUAGGGGGUAUCGACCCCUUCUGUGCCGCAGUCAACACAAUAAGCAUUCCGCCUGGGGAGUACGGCCGCA